AGCGAACGCUGGCGGCAGGCCUAACACAUGCAAGUCGAACGAACUCUUCGGAGUUAGUGGCGGACGGGUGAGUAACACGUGGGAACGUGCCUUUAGGUUCGGAAUAACUCAGGGAAACUUGUGCUAAUACCGAAUGUGCCCUUCGGGGGAAAGAUUUAUCGCCUUUAGAGCGGCCCGCGUCUGAUUAGCUAGUUGGUGAGGUAAAGGCUCACCAAGGCGACGAUCAGUAGCUGGUCUGAGAGGAUGAUCAGCCACAUUGGGACUGAGACACGGCCCAAACUCCUACGGGAGGAAGAAGUGGGGAUCCUGGCGCAAUGGGCGAAAGCUGACGCAGCCAUGCCGCGUGAAUGAUGAAGGUCUUAGGAUUGUAAAAUUCUUUCACCGGGGACGAUAAUGACGGUACCCGGAGAAGAAGCCCCGGCUAACUUCGUG
rnacentral:rRNA from 1 species